UAACGCGUGGGUAACCUGCCUCACACUGGGGGAUAACAGUUAGAAAUAGCUGCUAAUACCGCAUAAGCGCACGGUUCCGCAUGGAACAGUGUGAAAAACUCCGGUGGUGUGAGAUGGACCCGCGUCUGAUUAGCCAGUUGGCGGGGUAACGGCCCACCAAAGCGACGAUCAGUAGCCGGCCUGAGAGGGUGAACGGCCACAUUGGGACUGAGACACGGCCCAAACUCCUACGGGAGGCAGCAGUGGGGAAUAUUGCACAAUGGGGGAAACCCUGAUGCAGCGACGCCGCGUGAGUGAAGAAGUAUUUCGGUAUGUAAAGCUCUAUCAGCAGGGAAGAAAGUGACGGUACCUGAAUAAGAAGCCCCGGCUAACUACGUGCCAGCAGCCGCGGUAAUACGUAGGGGGCAAGCGUUAUCCGGAUUUACUGGGUGUAAAGGGAGCGUAGACGGCAAGGCAAGUCUGAAGUGAAAGCCCGGUGCUUAACGCCGGGACUGCUUUGGAAACUGUUUGGCUGGAGUGCCGGAGAGGUAAGCGGAAUUCCUAGUGUAGCGGUGAAAUGCGUAGAUAUUAGGAAGAACACCAGUGGCGAAGGCGGCUUACUGGACGGUAACUGACGUUGAGGCUCGAAAGCGUGGGGAGCAAACAGGAUUAGAUACCCUGGUAGUCCACGCCGUAAACGAUGAUUGCUAGAUGU
rnacentral:rRNA from 1 species